GUGGUGGCUCAGUGGCAGAGUGCUUGCCUCACACAUGUGAGGCACUGGGUUCAAUCCUCAGCACCACA
rnacentral:tRNA from 1 species